UAGGGAAUCUUCCGCAAUGGACGAAAGUCUGACGGAGCGACGCCGCGUGAGCGAAGAAGGUCUUCGGAUCGUAAAGCUCUGUUGUUAGGGAAGAAGAAGUGCCGUUCGAACAGGGCGGCGCGGUGACGGUACCUAACGAGAAAGCCCCGGCUAACUACGUGCCAGCAGCCGCGGUAAUACGUAGGUGGCAAGCGUUGUCCGGAAUUAUUGGGCGUAAAGCGCGCGCAGGCGGUUCCUUAAGUCUGAUGUGAAAUCUCUCGGCUCAACCGCGAGCGGCCAUUGGAAACUGGGGAACUUGAGUGCAGGAGGAGGGAGCGGAAUUCCACGUGUAGCGGUGAAAUGCGUAGAGAUGUGGAGGAACACCAGUGGCGAAGGCGGCUCUCUGGCCUGUAACUGACGCUGAGGCGCGAAAGCGUGGGGAGCGAACAGG
rnacentral:rRNA from 1 species